AUUGAACGCUGGCGGGAUGCUUAACACAUGCAAGUCGAACGAGUAGCGGACGGGUGAGUCAUUUAUCGGCACGUGCCCAGUAGCGGGGGAUAACUACUCGAAAACGUGCCUAAUACCGCAUAAUGUUGUUUCGGCCGACAUUGUAUUAGCUAGUUGGUGGGGUAAAGGCUCACAAAGGCAACGAUCCGUAGCUGGUUUGAGAGGACUACCAGCCACACUGGGACUGAGACACGGCCCAGACUCCUACGGGAGGCAGCAGUGGGGAAGUGUGGACAAUGGGGGAAACCCUGAUCCAGCCAUCCCGCGUGUAUGAGAAGGCCUUCGGGUUGUAAAGUACUUUUGGCAGAGAAGCGGUAUCUGCAGAAUAAGCACCGGCUAACUACGUGCCAGCAGCCGCGGUAAUAC
rnacentral:rRNA from 1 species